AUAUAUAUAUAUACACACACACACUUCAAUACCCUCCCGAUGGCAAAAAAAACUUUGGUUGCAACAGGUUGGGCGCUCCUCGAUACGCUAUUAGUUCUGAUGACUGAGUGGGACGAGGCAUUCCAAUCCGAUGACUGAUUGGGUCGGGGGUAAUCUAGCCCGAUGGUUGUAGGCCCGAGGAUAUUCCAGCCCGAUGACUUAUGGGAGCUACCAUGCAUGAUUGUAUAUGUUCUGAUUGUGUGUGGUACUUUGGGAGAACUCACUAAACUUUAGCUUACAGUUUUCAGUGUUAUGUUUCAGGCACUUCAGAUGAUUAGGGGAAAGAAAAUGCAUGAUAGUGCACAUCCUUCCAGUUUUUAUGAUUUUGGAUUUUGGGGUACUCUAAUUGUGAUUAUUACUUUUGAGAACAAUGUUUUAUGAACAAUUGUGGUCUUUGGUUGGAUUUUUGAAAUGAAUUUUUUACCUUGAUUUU